CCGGAAGGCACCGCGGCGCUGGCCGGGUGAGGGGCGAGGUUAGAAAGGACGCAGCGGGGCUGGGGAGGAGUGGCGGCCUCCCCUCCUGGAGAGAGGACACCGGCUGAGCCCAGCAAGAGGACCCCUUGUUAGGACAGCUCGGAGAAGCUGGCCUUGUGGGACCAAACCUGCUCUUCGAGACGGAAGCUUGCAGGGGUCUAGCGAGGAGGAGGCGCCCGCCACGCAGAGAGCGCUUCCCUGGCGAGCAGGCCCCUGCACUUCUCUUCCUCCCCAAUAUUUGGGGAAUGGGAGUUUCACGCCCAGAAAACCCGGUGCUGGUCCCUGUAGCCACUCUAGCCUGCCGUGGGUCCCCGCUGGCCUUGUUGCUGGUCACCUCCCAGAACUUUGGGGUAUAGUGUUGACAACAUUGGCCCGGCUUCCAAGGAGAGGCCGCGGGAAGACCACUCUCUGUCACUGCCCAGCCCCACGCCUGGGCAAAGCCCCUCCUCCACACACAAGCACCGGUGUCUGUGUAGCGCAUCGUCCUGAGGAUCUGAGAUGUCACCAGGUUUCAUGUGCGGACAACGACAGUGUGAAGGUCAACAUCUGAUCUCAGGAUUCCUAAAGGCCACAGCGCCGCUUGGCCUGCAGAAGUUGCCCGGCCGGGAUCCAGCCCCGCCCAGCAGCACAAUGCACCAUAGGGGCAGCAAGGCUGGAUCCUUAACCCCCUGCACCACUAGGUAACUCCCAUGAACUGCACUUCUGAACGAUGGCUGUACCUCUGAACCGCAAGGAGCUCUGCGAUCCUUUACCCAGAUGCCCAGCUUCUUGUUCUCCAAACCCUGAAAAGUCACCGUGUUCUUUAGUUUUGAGAUGGUUGCCUUCAGCCGAAGUUGACUUUUAAAACUUGAAUAAGACCUGAAAUUGUCUUCAAGAAUCUCACAACCUAAACUUACACUUCUGUGUGUGGAUAUUUCGGCCUCUGCAAAGCUUCUCAGCCCCGUGAGGGCUCACUCCUUGCAGCCACGGACCCUGGGGGUUUGGCUACAAAACAGAAUCCAGUGCUGCCCCAUCCCACAGAGAAUGACUGGGCUGAGCAGGGGGAAACAAGGGACACUAAGAAACGCUGACCCAGCAGUUGCUCCUGGAAGAAGCCAUUAAGGUCAAGGCAGAAAUAAUGGCCACUUCAACAGGAACAGGAGAUGCAGAACACAAGAGGCUGGGCCAGCAGGGCUGGGCUGAGUUUACCUGGGUCUGAGCAGCCUUCCUAGAAGCCUUGCUAGAGCCAGUUCUCAACUUAGCUGCAGACCAGGGGCUCUGGGGAGUGGGGACGGUCCCUGGGCUCCAGCCCAAACACGCUGAGCUCAUUGGUCUGGGGUGGGGCCUGGGAAAGGGCACUUUCAUAGACUCUUCAGGUGCUUCUCAUUGACAUUUAGAACUAAGAACCGCAACAACCAUAGUAAAGCUUCACCAUUUGCUGGUUCCAGAAAAAACAAAACAAAACAACAAAAUUUUAUGUUGUGCCUCAUAAAGAAGUUGAAAUGCAGCAUGAAUUACAAAGGUCAAGAAUCAGGAAAAAUAGGGGGCACCCAGACUUGAACUGGGGACCUCUUGAUCUGCAGUCAAAUGCUCUACCACUGAGCUAUACCCCCUUCUGCUAUAUGUGGUGACAAUUAAUACUGUUCAUCAGUCUAGCCACGCCCAGGCUGCCUGUAAAUCUAAGAGCCGCCACUUCAGGAAGGACCUCUUUUGGGAACUGGCAAACCACUCUUCAGCCUGCCACCUAAGAAGCAACAAGCUCUGUCCUCAAAAGCCCUGCAGCCUGUGUCCACCCACCCCGCCCCAGCCAAGGGCCCCAGGGUGUGAGCAGCAGCCGGGAGAAGCCUUGACGUUGGCUGUAGAAUGGCCUUCAGAGUCAGAGGCCUGGCUCCAUCAUGGUGGGCACCUAAAAAACAGACACUGCCGGUGACUGAGAUGUCUGUGCAAACCCAUUUAAUGAGGCCUGACUCUCAUGGGCCGACCGUCGGUUCAGGGCACUUUCUGCUAAACUACAGUCUGGGACAAAAAUGACCCUCCACUUCUGCAGUUACUAGAGAUGGAGAAUCAUGGAGGUGAUCCACUCCUAGGAACCGUCAGGAGUAGGCGGCUGAGUGAAUUUAGGAAUCAUCCAAAUUAUCCCUGAGCUAACAUGAUGCAAGGACCAGGCCAUGCUGCUGGAGAGGAACCAUACUGAGCCCCGGGGCCCUCUGAUCCGUGGGCAAAUCUGUCUGCACACUCACGCCAAGACCCUGCUUCUGCUCUUGUCCAGGAAGCUGGGAACCUUCUCUUUGGAAAACCGAUGUUGGGAGCUCUCCCUCUCACCCCCCAGCUUCUCCCUCGGGGCCUCGGCAGCCCAGCAGUUGCUUCUCCUCCUCCCCUGGCUGAGAAGCUGGGAGAGGCUGACCUUGACCGUGAUGCUGAGGUGGAAGGAGACCCGGGGCAGGGCUCUGCGGGAGACGCCAGCCUUUGCUCUGCCCACUAACAGACUUAGAAGGCCCGCAACUGGGAGAAAGAGCGGCCACCAGAGGAAAAGGCAACAAGGGGAGCCCUGGAGGAGACUUGUGGGUGACUGGGGGGGAGGUGGGGGGGGCAGGCAGGGAGGAGGGACCCGGCCUGGAACCCCAGCUGGGUGAGGCCCACAGAGCCCCUACCUGCACUGCUCUCUCCCCAGACACGCCUCGGCCCUAAGAUCUAAGUGACAGCGAAGCAGGUGCCUCCCAGCCACAGCAGGCCCUCCACCCCUGAGCCUCUGUAGAAGUCUUUCCUGCCGCCUGAAAUGCCCUCCUUCCCGGCCCUCGAGGACCAGGCCCUGCACCCAGGAGGCUUCUCAUUGGCUUCCUUCCUCUGCACCAGGCGCGGGCGGUCUGCUUCCGCAUCAAAACUACUCAGCCUCCCUGGCCACAAGUUUCUAGGGGAGCCGCAGGGUCAGGCCCCGCCCCCCCCCCCGCCCCCGUCCCCACCUUGAUUCCAUUCUCUUAACACUAAGAGGAGGUCACAGAGGGUGGUCCUUCUCUGUCCUUGGCCUUGGAGUCCUCAGACACAUAGGGGCUAUUGGUUCAAACCCAGUGAGCUUAACACAGAUUCGGGGAGUUUAUUCCAUAAUGUGGCGGGGGUUUUUGUUUGUUUGUUUGUUUUGUCUUUUUAGGGCUGCACCUGUGACAUAUGGAGGUUCCCAGGCUAGGGGUUGAAUCGGAGCUGGAGCUGCUGGCCUGCACCACAGUCUCAGCAACUCUGUAUCCUAGCUGCGUCUGCAACCUACACCACAGAUCACUGCAAUGCCGGAUCCUUAACCCACUGAGUGAGGCCAGGGAUCGAACCUGCACCCUCAUGGAUACUAGUCGGGCUGGUUAACCACUGAGCCACAACAGGAACUCCCAUUCCAUAACUUGGGCUUUGUAGGGAGACUUCUUUAGAGACCGGAAGGAAAUUCAAGCAGCACAAGCAGUCCAGUGACCUUUCCUUGAGAGAAUCAGCCUCCACCCAAUCCCAGCGCCUCUGCCCCUGGGAACAGAGAGACAAGCACCUCUCUGCUCCGGUGGUUCGUGACCUUCUCCAGAGGACGUGGGCCCUGGCGCUUCCUGUCCACUGGAAGAAGAGCUCAGCAUCUGCUGAGUCCAAAAUCAUGGCCUUUCAAAGACACUCCCUGAAACAGCAGUUGAACAAGAAAAGGACUCGCACAGCCACCAUCUGUCUGUUGACCUGAGGCACCUUGAAGAGAUCCUGCCCAAGCUCUUUGGAGACACGUGCAGGACCUACACCUGAAGUGUAUCGAGGGGUUGAGUGGAGUCGUCCCCUGACAACCAGAAUAAGAGGUUCAAGUGGAAUAAGGCAGGGCAGUAAACGCACACGCUGAAGUCGGAUGCAGGAGUGAAUUGGCUAGAAGCGCCCCCGUGUGGUCAUGAUGUGGGCUUAUUGACCUGAAAUAUGAGCACCUUCAAGAGACAACGGGUCCACCAUCUAGAUGCCACCACAAAGAAUGACAGCACCCAGUAGUACAGAAACCACUGCCUUUGCCAGACUUCCUCCAACAUUCCCUGGUCAGCGCUGAAAGACUCUCUAAAGCUGAUCACCUAUCUUACUGAGAAAACAGCUCGAAGCUCACUCACGCCUGAGAGCUCUGUGAGUCUCUGCUGCUUAGAUGGGAAGCAGACUCCAGGGAACAUUUCCAGUGUCCCUGUUCAAGGCAGGUGACAGAGGUUCCUGUGUGAAGGCAGGGGCAGGGAGGUAGUCCCACACAGCCUCCUGCUUGCAGCCGCACUGCCCAAACGCUUGCAGCCCUAGCAGGUAGCAGGCAGUCCCCGCAGUCAACUCCCUUCUCUCUGUGCGGAAGCAGCUCAAGACGGAGCCCCUGCAGCCCUUCGGCAAGCACAGCCCUGUGCUCGGUAGUGGGGGAGCACACAGGAGGCGUCGAAGCUCCCAUUCCCCCCAUGCUGAUGCCUGUGUGUGGCAGAGGUGGGACAGUGCCCACAUGAAGGGCGGCAUCAGCAAGUCUCUGAGAAUAAGCAUCACUGGGAGUGGGGGUCGGGUCAGCCCUGGAGAAAUUCACCUGGGGCUGCAAGAAGAAGCUAGAGAGGCUUUUUCUAGCAAAAGCUCUAAACUAUCGAAGCUCUCUUCUGUCCUAGGAAGACUCAAUUCCACAGGACCCAGAGGUGAAAAGGCAUUUCUUCAAUCUGCAGAGAACUGAAAGGGGUACUGAGGGGUGGAGAUAUUGAGAAAAGUCCUCCAAACGGAGAAGGAACUUUAAGAGUGAAAAACAAAGCAGGCAACUCCAUAGAGUAGCCGUAUGAAGUUUAUUGUGGAUGACACCACAGGUGGGGCUGGCCUUCACAGCUGCACUCUGUGCUGUCAGUGGGGUCCAGGGGCAUUUAAAGGGGCCACAGCAAAAGACAGAAGCUGCGGGAGAAGCGUGUCUGCACGGAUGGCAGCCGAGGUUUUUGCCUCCCCUGUGGGGUCUCAUAACCAUUAACCCUUGCAAGUCAUUAACCAUCUGUCAGCAAAAGGCAUAUUCUUCCAGCGUGCCUUUCAGAGGCAGACAAGGGAAGAGGUUGAUGGACACUCGUCUGUCUGGGGUGCAUUCCUGGUGAGAAGGCUAAAGCUGUCUUGCAGAAGGGGAGGGGCAAGAGACGGAGCUGACAAAAUGGGGUCAGUGUGGUUCAAACACACAGGCCCCUCCCUUGUGAUCGCUGUCUGAUAAGCACCCGUGUGGCCUCAUCAGUACUUCUGUUUGUUUGUCAUCAGCCCAGGAGGACAGCUCCACUGCAAACUAAACCCCUUCUCUCUCAUUUUCUCCUUCCCCCAAGCCCUGACCCUUCCCACCUGGCAGCCCUGCAGCUUCCCCUCCCCCCAGUUCAAGGCAAGUCACCUAAAGCCACCAGUGUUCUCCUAGAAGAGCUUUUAGAAUGAUCCAGAACUUUGGCCAAACGGGGCACCCAGGAAAAUCAUCUCCUGUUUCUGUAAUGUGGGUGGAUGGAAAAAAAAAAAA
rnacentral:tRNA from 1 species